GUGUCAGCAGCCGCGGUAAAACGUAGGACGCAAGCGUUAUCCGGAGUUACUGGGCGUAAAGGGCGGGCAGGCGGUUCGUCAAGUGGGGUGUGAAAGCUCCCAGCUUAACUGGGAGAGGCCAUUCCAAACUGACGGACUGGAGGGCAGCAGAGGUAGGCGGAAUUCCGGGUGGAGUGGUGAAAUGCGUAGAGAUCCGGAGGAACACCAGAGGCGAAGGCGGCCUACUGGGCUGCACCUGACGCUGAACCGCGAAAGCUAGGGGAGCGAACGGGAUUAGAAACCCCUGUAGUCC
rnacentral:rRNA from 1 species